CUCAAUAACACGAAAAAGAGCGGGAGUGAGAAAAUAAACAUUUCAGAAUCCAAAUUUCCUUCACUCGCUCAACUGACUCUGUCACAACUCGACUCCCUAAACGGCCGUUAGGGUUUGUGAACUCACAAUACUUGGAAUUGGCGAGUUCAAGCCAUCUGGCUUGAUUGCCCGGUAAACCCCCAGAGGAUGUCCCUGACAAGUAUGAUUAUUUCCUCUUCGAUCACGAGAUCGCCCGAGAUCAAUGAAAUUGAUGCGUCCGGCUCUGCGGUUAGCGAUCGCAGCGACCACGAGCUAUUCAUUAGAGGAAACAAGUACAUGCUUUUUCUGUUUUUGUAAUUUUCCUGGCGUAAAUUGUAGGAUAAUUGUCAACUUGUUUAAUUCCUUAACUCCUAAUUUCUUGAGUUUUAAGUAUUUACUAAGUUUGAUAUCUGAUUCUGUUGAUUCUAAUUAGCUAAAAAUUGAUUUUGUUUACAUUUUCGUCUAACUAAAUCAAAUCAAAUCGAAGAGUAAAAUGUGCCUAUUGUUCAAAGCCUAACCUAACCUCCGGAUUAUCUGUACUGAAUAACAUGCAGUGGGAACCAAGUCCACCAAGCUAUCAAAUAAAAUUUUUUAGUAUUUUUUAAUAUUUUAAUAUGAUAAUAUUAAAAAUAAAUUUUAAAAAAUAUAUAAAAAUAUUUUUUUAUGUGAAAAUAUAUUAAAAUAAUAUUUUUAUUUAUUUUUUAAAUUUUAUUUUUAAUAUCAUCAUAUUAAAAUAAUAAAAAAAUACUAAAAAAUUUUAUUUUAAAAUAAAUUUAAAUAUUUUUAAAAACGUUUUAAAACACAAAAAUAAUCAGAAUAUAUUUGAAAGGUGUCAGCUGACUGAUGGAUUUGAAGUCUUUUUUGGAUGGAAUAUUUUCUUGAAACAGUCAUGCUUCAUGUAUUGUCACUCUAAUAUGGUUAUUUCCCUCUAUUAAUUCUUGCAGCCUUGCAGGUGUAUUUGUCAUUAUACAAUACAAUUGGUUCAGUGACUGACAAGAUUACAAAUAGUACUUUACUAUUGGAGACUGAUCACUCGCAAUUUCUAGUUUAAAGGUAAUUUUUUUCUUAUUAGACCUAGCAUUUCAUUUACUAGUGGAACUAGGUCUUUUCUCCAUGAGAAUUGAUAGCAUACUCAUUCAGCAGCUUCAUAAAAUAAUGCUUUGGUUAAACAACACAUUUUUGGCUGUGACCUAGAAUAUAACCACGGAAUGAUGAGGCACACAUCAUUUAAGGCACUGUAUAUUUGUAAUUUGAAUGUGAAUGAAUAAGUGAAACUAACUUAAAUUCCUCCAACAUUGUAUAGCAUACUGAUUACUGAUUGUGGAUGCCAUCUUGGUUAUGGGGCCAAAGUUGACCAGUGUUUGGGGGCCGGUGAGCGGGUUAGUGGGCAGAUCAUACAAUUGGAAUAGCACAAGUAGAACAUGUUGCAGUACUGGCAUCAUCUGUAAUCAAGACAACAAUGGGGAAAGUUAAGCCCAAGCUUGUGUCAGCAUCUUCAGUUCCCUUGUUGCGUUUGUUAUUGCCAAAAACUGAAACCAAUGCGAUUGGUGAGAUAGAUAAGCUAUUGGUUUCUCCCCAAGUCAGUGGAUGAGGCAUGGAUUGUCUUUUCCAAGGAAGCUGUUUCAAAAUGCAGGUUUAAAAAAGACACGAGUGUAUCAAAGAGUUGGAACUGGAAGUCUAACCAAAGUGGACCGAGACGUCAUCCAUCAUGCUUCAGGUUCGGGGGGUAAAGUGGUGAGAGCCUUGAAACUGACCCUACUAGAGGUUCUCCAUUUCUCACGCUGAGGUAAUUUUCAAUGUGAAUUUGUUUGUAGAUUAUAUGUACACGUAUUAGAUUUUAUUUUUAUUUUUUGAGGUUUGUAGCUACAUGAGAGCAUAUGUGAAAACCCCAAUAAUGAAAUCUUCUCUCCCCACAAAUACUAUUUAACAAUGUAAAUGUCGAUACUUUCCAAGCGAUUGGCGUCAGUGUGGCCUUUUACUCAUCCAAUAGAAAAUAUUUGAAGCCCA